UUAAAUUGAAGAGUUUGAUCAUGGCUCAGAUUGAACGCUGGCGGCAGGCCUAACACAUGCAAGUCGAACGGUAACAGGAAGCAGCUUGCUGCUUCGCUGACGAGUGGCGGACGGGUGAGUAAUGUCACUGAACCUGCCUGAUGGAGGGGGAUAAGUACUGGAAACGGUGGCUAAUACC
rnacentral:rRNA from 1 species